rnacentral:rRNA from 1 species
UACAGAGGGUGCGAGCGUUGUCCGGAAUCACUGGGCGUAAAGGGCGCGUAGGUGGCGGCCCAAGUCCAUGGUGAAAGCUCGAUGCUCAACAUCGAGUCGGCCACGGAUACUGGGUUGCUCGAGCACUGUAGAGGCAGAUGGAAUUCCGGGUGUAGCGGUGGAAUGCGUAGAGAUCCGGAAGAACACCGGUGGCGAAGGCGGCAUCCUGGACCAAUAUUGACGCUGAGGAGCG